CCCUGAGUCCCAGGGGCUACUCAGCAGGCAGUAGGAUCACCUGAACUGGGAGUUCUGGGCUGCAGUGUGCUAUGCCAACUGGGUGUCCCACUAGGUUCGGAUCAAAUGGUGACAUCGGCGGAGCAGGACCACCAUGUUGCCUAAGGAGGUGAACCAGCUCAGGUGGAAACAGGGCAGGUCAAAACUCCCAUGCUGAUCAUUAGUGGGAUCACGCCUAUGAGUGGCCACUGCACUCCAGCCUGGGAACAUAGUGGAA
rnacentral:sRNA from 1 species